UCACUGGUGGUUCAGUGGUAGAAUUCUCGCCUGCCACGCGGGCGGUCCGGGUUCUAUUCCCUGCCAGUGCA
rnacentral:tRNA from 1 species